AACCCUAGCCAGUCACCACCUCCCUAUAACCCAACCUCCAUCAUAGCCACCCAAGUUUGCCAAACCCCAAACAAAGUAGAUGUACAAUCACAUUGAAUCACAUCCCCAUGAAGCUUUACACCCAAGCUAUUAUCACAAACGAAUUCUUAUCUUAGAAGGGGAAAGGUGGGAUAAUUGGUCAAUCCAACAAUCCCAAACCACAGCGCUGUUGCACUUUUAUACCCAAUUAUGCUCAAGCUAAUGGCCAGGUGUUGAGGCCCAAAAAAAUCCACGCUUCGGCCCAAAUAAAUGCUCAGCCCAAUGCAAUACCUUACCGAGAAGAAACCCAAUUUGGGCACGCGAAAGUUCGCCAUAUGCGCUUGUACACAUACC
rnacentral:lncRNA from 1 species